rnacentral:tRNA from 1 species
GUGAGCGUAGUUUAAGGGAAAACGGCAACGGUUUAUUUACACACAGAAUUACCUCCAAGAUUGCUAUGCAGGUCCAAUUCCUGCCGCUCGCG